ACAAUGCUGGCAAUGCAGCAGCUGCACUGAUGGCUCGACUUGCUCCAAAAGCCAAGGUUCUUCGAGAUGGAAAAUGGAAUGAAGAAGAUGCUGCUGUUCUUGUUCCUGGGGACAUUAUCAGUAUUAAACUGGGAGAUAUUAUUCCUGCAGAUGCUCGUCUUCUUGAAGGUGAUCCCCUGAAAAUUGACCAGUCUGCUUUGACUGGUGAAUCUCUUCCUGUAACUAAAGGUCCUGGAGAUGGUGUCUACUCUGGUUCUACCUGUAAGCAGGGAGAGAUAGAAGCUGUCGUCAUCGCCACUGGGGUUCAUACCUUUUUUGGGAAGGCUGCACACCUUGUUGACAGUACAAAUCAAGUGGGACACUUCCAAAAGGUUUUGACUGCUAUUGGAAACUUCUGCAUCUGUUCUAUUGCAGUGGGGAUGAUAAUAGAGAUCAUUGUGAUGUACCCUAUCCAACACCGCAAAUAUCGCCCUGGGAUUGACAAUCUUCUUGUCCUUCUCAUUGGUGGAAUUCCAAUUGCCAUGCCAACGGUUCUUUCAGUCACGAUGGCAAUUGGAUCUCAUCGGCUCGCUCAACAGGGUGCUAUUACGAAAAGAAUGACAGCUAUUGAGGAGAUGGCUGGUAUGGACGUGCUUUGUAGUGACAAGACAGGGACCCUUACACUAAACAAGCUUACUGUUGACAAAAACCUUGUUGAGGUUUUUGCCAAAGGUGUUGACGCAGAUACUGUCGUUCUGAUGGCAGCUCGAGCGUCUCGUACAGAGAACCAGGAUGCCAUUGACACUGCUAUUGUUGGGAUGUUGUCUGACCCGAAGGAGGCUCGUGCUGGCAUUCGUGAAAUACACUUUCUUCCUUUCAAUCCAACUGACAAGCGUACAGCGCUUACUUAUCUUGAUGGUGAAGGAAAAAUGCACAGGGUCAGCAAAGGGGCACCAGAGCAGAUCCUAAAUCUUGCACACAACAAGUCAGACAUAGAACGUAGAGUUCAUGCGGUGAUUGAUAAGUUUGCUGAGAGGGGUUUGCGCUCACUUGGUGUGGCCUACCAGGAAGUUCCAGAGGGAAGGAAGGAGAGUUCCGGAGGACCAUGGCAAUUCAUUGGUCUCCUGCCUUUGUUUGAUCCUCCAAGACACGACAGUGCUGAGACUAUAAGGAGGGCUUUGAAUCUUGGAGUGAAUGUUAAAAUGAUCACAGGGGAUCAACUGGCUAUAGGAAAAGAAACAGGGCGUCG
rnacentral:misc_RNA from 1 species